rnacentral:rRNA from 1 species
UACGUAGGGUGCAAGCGUUAAUCGGAAUUACUGGGCGUAAAGCGUGCGCAGGCGGUUUUGUAAGUUUGUCGUGAAAUCCCCGGGCUCAACCUGGGAAUGGCGAUGAAGACUGCAAGGCUAGAAUCUGGCAGAGGGGGGUAGAAUUCCACGUGUAGCAGUGAAAUGCGUAGAGAUGUGGAGGAAUACCGAUGGCGAAGGCAGCCCCCUGGGCCAAUACUGACGCUCAUGCACGAAAGCGUGGGGAUCAAACAGG